rnacentral:rRNA from 1 species
UACGUAGGGUGCAAGCGUUAAUCGGAAUUACUGGGCGUAAAGCGUGCGCAGGCGGUUUUGUAAGUCUGACGUGAAAUCCCCGGGCUCAACCUGGGAAUUGCGUUGGAGACUGCAAGGCUAGAAUCUGGCAGAGGGGGGUAGAAUUCCACGUGUAGCAGUGAAAUGCGUAGAGACGUGGAGGAACACCGAUGGCGAAGGCAGCCCCCUGGGUCAAGAUUGACGCUCAUGCACGAAAGCGUGGGGAGCAAACAGG